rnacentral:rRNA from 1 species
AUUGAACGCUGGCGGCAGGCCUAACACAUGCAAGUCGAACGAGUGUCGGACGGGUGCGUCAUGUCUGGGAAACUGCCCGAUGGAGGGGGAUAACUACUGGAAACAGUAGCUAAUACCGCAUAACAUUGGAUGUGCCCCGAUGGGAUUAGCUCGUAGGGGGGGUAACGGCUCACCUAGGCGACGAUCCCUAGCUGGUCUGAGAGGCUGACCAGCCACACGGGAACUGAGACACGGUCCAGACGCCUACGGGAGGCAGCAGUGGGGAAUAGUGCACAAUGGGCGCAAGCCUGAUGCAGCCAUGCCGCGUGUAUGAAGAAGGCCUUCGGGUUGUAAAGUACUUUCAGCGAGGAGGCGUUACUCGCAGAAGAAGCACCGGCUAACUCCGUGCCAGCAGCCGCGGUAAUUC